CCCUACGGGGGGCAGCAGUAGGGAAUCUUCCACAAUGGACGAAAGUCUUAUGGAGCAACGCCGCGUGAGUGAAGAAGGGUCUCGGCUCGUAAAGCUCUGUUGGUAGUGAAGAAAGAUAGAGGUAGUAACUGGCCUUUAUUUGACGGUAAUUACUUAGAAAGUCACGGCUAACUACGUGCCCGCAGCCGCGGUAAUACGUAGGUUGCAAGCGUUUUCCGGAUUUAUUUGGCGUAAAACGAGU
rnacentral:rRNA from 1 species